AAGGAAAUGCCAGCCUGGAUUCCUUCAGCAAGGAUGUCCUUCCAGCUUCUGGCCAGAGUCUGUGUAGCAGCCUGGGGUCCCAGUGGGUUAGACCGGAAGUGUGGUGGGAUGGACCUGUAAGCUCUGGUGCCUCGCCAGACCGGCUCCCCUGGGCGACAUGCAUGUCUCGGGGGGUCCUCCAGCAGGAUUGGUGUGCAAGCCUGAGCCCUGGGCGCCCAUUGCUCCUGGAUCAGGCUCUGCCUCCCGCUGAAGCCUGAUCUCCGGCGAGCUCCGGGCACGAGAGUCAGCAGGUCGCGGGAGGAAACCUGUAGCCACCCCAGCCUGACGCCCUGAUGGGGAUGAAGACGAGGAUGAGGAAGGAGAUUAGUCAUUGGAUUUAGUGCCCCUCCUAAAUCCGGGAAGACUUCAUCUCGAGAUCCUUGACUAAGUCCAUCGGCAAAGACCCUCCUUCCCAGUGGGGAAACUGAGGCCCAGAGCACACGGCUGCCAGAGGCGGAGGCGUGUGCUUGCUGGGGCCUUGGUACUGCUGACAUGGGGCGGCAUGUCCCUCGGGCUGCCUGCCCUCCAGCAUCCGUGGGACUUACUGCUCAGCCCCCGGGCGUUGCCCUACGAAUGAAGACACGCCGCACCCCAGCCCAGCACUUGGGGGAUGGUGGAAGACUUCCGAGGGGACGGUCUUGGGCCAUUACCUCAGCGAUGGGUGAGAUGUGCGUCCCACAGACGGACCUACAGAGGGUUUUUCUGUCACUGUCUCAUGGGACGACCUUCCAUCAAUGCGGUCCAGGUGCUCUUCUGAGCUUUGUACAGACCCUCCUCACCCUGCUCCACAGCCUGUGACUCAGGUGCCAUUUCUGUUCUCGGUGGAUGUGGGGAGACUGAGGCACAAAGACUCUUGGUGACUUACCCAGGGACCUGCAGGGCCAGGACCUGCAUUCAGGCCCCCGCCUCGCUCCCGACCCCCACUGUGAGCUCGUUGGCCCCCCCGGCGCACACCCACCCCCACACUGACCAUGGCAGGUGCUGGUGGACCCCGCCUCUGGGGCCUCAAGCCGCUCCUGAAGCAUGACCAGUGGCCCCAGUCCUGCAGAUCCACCACUCCCGCGCCUUGUGCUCCAGGACAGGUUACUUAGCCUCUCUGGGCCUCAGACGCCUGGCUUCUAAAAUCAGAAUCUAUGCACCAACACGCUUGGCCCAUGGGAAGUAAUUGGCGGAUGCUGCCCUCCCGCCGCCAGUUCCAAUGAACUGUGGUGUAUGAUGCACGGGGGGAGCUUGCCUUCAGCCUCGGGGGUGAGUCCGAGGAGAAGCGGGGUCCACCAGAGCUGACCAUAGGCCUCUUUCGUCCCGUCCCUCACAGACUCCUACUGGGCCAGGGCCCGUGCAUUUGGAGAGACUCCUGGCCGCCGCCCUCUUUCUCAGCUCCUGAGAAUCCCCAGGGACAGUUUCUGGCUCGUUGUAUGCCUCUCCUCAGUCCAGCCCUCCUUUCCUCUGCCCUGCCCGCUGGAGUGCCCAAAGUGGGCUCUGGCCCCUGCAGACUGAUGGGGAAUCCCUCUUCCCAGGGCCCAUGCGGGCCACUUACUUUCCAGGGCCUUCCCUGGUGCACAUCAGAUGACCAAGUACCAUAAGCCUCCAAGGAGUUGAGGGCUCACUUCUCAGCCAUACUGCUUCCCAGUAAGAGGGGUGGUGCCUGCACUGGUCAGAGCUGGUCACUGCCCCACUCCCUGUCCCCAUAGUGCUUUAUGUAUGUACACAGGAGGGGAGCAGUGGGGCUCGGGGCAGGCCCCCCUGCCUGUGCCUACCUGCCUUGGGGGUCGGGUGGGUCACUGUCACUCUGGGAGCCCCGGUCUCAGCGGAUGUCAGUGGAGUUGAUAAUCAUCCCAGCCCCGUCCCAGCUUCGCAGGGUUGGGGAGGAUGGAUGCACGUGAAAGGCAAGGCAGAGAGGCCUGGCAGAGAGGAGGGCGCCCCAGGCCUACCCCACCCCUUGCCGGGUUCUUUAGCCACAUGCUUGGGGUCACAGCCAGCUGACCCCCCCUUGCUGCGGGUGGAACCUUGGCGAGCCCCUCUGCCUUUUUGUGCCGUGCCUCUGUUUCUUCUUCCGGGAGAAGGAGGUGAUGAUGAAGCCCAUCCCCCAGGCAACGCAGGGGCCAGCAGGUGACACUGCAAAGCGCCCCGGGGCAGAGGACGCUGGGGAAGCCUCACCAGCUCCAGACACCCUGCGGUGUCGUUGACCCGCCUGCCCCCAUCACUACGGCUGAGCUCCCCACGGCCGGUCCCUUGUUCUGGUCAUCCCCUGGACCCCAACACCACACUAGAUGCUCCAGGGACCAGGAUGCCCCAGUUGUCGCUGCCCUACCCGCCCCCCCGGCCUGCACUCUGGCACCCUGAAGCUCUGUGUCCACAUCCUCACCUGUCCCCCACACUGCCUUCCCCCAGGUCAUUACCCACGCUGGUGCCUCCACCGGGAGCCCUCUCCCGCUCUCUCCACCUGUUCACCCUUCCAGGCAUUGAUUUGUUCCCUGCCGUCUCCCUGGGGCCUCGAGCCAGGCGCGUGAUAGGUGCUCCGUGAACACCCGGUGAAUGGAAGAGGGACACCAGCUGGCCGCAUGGCAUCAGCCAUGCCAUGUCUAUGACGGGGAGCGACCAGCGCCAUCCUGGUCUCUGCCCGGUUCCGGCCUCCUGCUUGGCGAGCCUCUCACAUCAGGGCUUUGGCUGGCCCACGCCGUGGUGCUUCAGGGCAAAGACCUGCCUCCACCAAGAAGUGGCCACAGCCGCCACCCCCGCUGCACUUUAAGAUGUCCCAUCCACAGAACAGCCACCGCCUUCCGCCCUGUCUCCCUCCCUCUGCGCAGCGGAGCGGCCAGACCACUGUCUCACUGUGCGGCCUUUUCUUCCUUUUCCAUCAGGACACAUUUCCCUUCGGCCUCCGGAUCACACUUCUUUUUUUAUUUUUAUUUUUAUUUUUUUUUUUAAAGAUUUUAUUUAUUUAUUUGAGACAGAGAGAAUGAGAGACAGAGAGCAUGAGAGGGAGGAGGGUCAGAGGGAGAAGCAGACUCCCUGCCGAGCAGGGAGCCCGAUGCGGGACUCGAUCCCGGGACUCCAGGAUCAUGACCUGAGCCGAAGGCAGUCGCUUAACCAACUGAGCCACCCAGGCGCCCCGGAUCACACUUCUGCUCCUGGCCCGAAUGAACAUCCUGAGCAGCCCUCCCUGCCGCUUUGCUCCUUCCCCUUGACAACCUGGUAACGAGAUCGCUGUGCUUGAUCUUUCUCCUGCAAGCCGCCACUUCCAACCCCUUGUCAUUUGCUGAAAGUCAUUAGGAGACUCCUCUGCGAGGCACCGCAGCGCCCCCCUGCACCUGGCAGCUUCCCUACCCCCACCCUGCAGCUUAGCCCUGCCCCAGCAGCUUUCCCCCAACAUCUGACAGCACCCCCCCAGCUCCCCCCACACCUAGCAGCCCCCCCUUCCUAACCUGGCAGCUUUCCCCCUCCACCUGACAGGUUCCCCACCCCCCAGCCCUGCAGCUUCCUCUCCUCACCUGGCAGCCCCCCUGCACCUGGCAGCUCUCCCUACAUCUGGCAGGCCCCCUCCCCCCCGACCGGCAGUUUCCCCACCCCCCACCAAGCAGGUGCAGACUUCUUAGUUUUGCUGGAGGCCAGGCCAGGGGCACAGUGCAGGGGAGAGGCUCCCCUCUGUAGAGUCUGGCACCCUAACGGCCUGUGCCCUCAGUCUCCUCCUGCUGGCUCCCCCAGCAUCCCCGAGAGCAUCGCUCAUGGAUUCCUUGACGGUCUCUGAAUCGGGCCCAUGCAGACAAUUGCACAAGCUGAGCUUUGUCACAUUUAUAAAGAUAAAUUAAAAUAUUAUCACUAGAAACCUUCAAUAAUUUAAAAAAGCCUGAGACUUUUAAUGAGUAAGUGGUCUGAUUAAAAGUUGGAGAGAAAUAUUUCUCCUCCUUUUUGGGUGGGGAACAUUGCUGUGGGAUGAGGAAGCCAGUCUGGAUCUUGAAGCUAAAAGGCUUGGACUGGGGCUCAGUGGGACCCCCACUCACCUCUCAGGGAAAGCUCCGUUUCGUGGGUCCAACCAUGUGCCAGGCACUUGGCAUCUAGUCUUUCAAGGAUCCUUAUAAAAAGCCGUGUGGGGUCAGUGGCUCAUGCUUGCUGCUCAUGGAACUGCCCAGCAAGUUUGGGGGAGGUCAAGAGGUCAUUGGCAUU